CGUAGGUAACCUGCCUGGUAGCGGGGGGUAACUAUUGGAAACGAUAGCUAAUACCGCAUAACAGUCGACAUUGCAUGAUGUUGAUUUGAAAGGGGCAAUUGCUCCACUACCAGAUGGACCUGCGUUGUAUUAGCUAGUUGGUGAGGUAACGGCUCACCAAGGCGACGAUACAUAGCCGACCUGAGAGGGUGAUCGGCCACACUGGGGCUGAGACACGGCCCAG
rnacentral:rRNA from 1 species